GUGCUCGCUUCGGCAGCACAUAUACUAAAAUUGGAACGAUACAGAGAAGAUUAGCAUGGCCCUGGUGCAAGCAUGACAUGUAAAUUGGAGAAGCAUUCCAUAUUUUU
ensembl:snRNA Gm25681 predicted gene, 25681